rnacentral:rRNA from 1 species
UGGGGAAUAUUGGACAAUGGGCGAAAGCCUGAUCCAGCCAUGCCGCGUGUGUGAAGAAGGUCUUCGGAUUGUAAAGCACUUUAAGUUGGGAGGAAGGGCUGUCGGCUAAUACCCUGCAGUUUUGACGUUACCAACAGAAUAAGCACCGGCUAACUUCGUGCCAGCAGCCGCGGUAAUACGAAUGGUGCAAGCGUUAAUCGGAAUUACUGGGUGUAAAGCGCGCGUAGGUGGUUCAGCAAGUUGGAUGUGAAAGCCCCGGGCUCAACCUGGGAACUGCAUCCAAAACUACUGAGCUAGAGUACGGUAGAGGGUGGUGGAAUUUCCUGUGUAGCGGUGAAAUGCGUAGAUAUAGGAAGGAUCACCAGUGGCGAAGGCGACCACCUGGACUGAUACUGACGCUGAGGUGCGAAAGCGUGGGGAGCAAACAG